AUCAUUUGUAUUUACUAUUUAUCCGUGUCAAAUAGAAACUGUGCCCAUUAGAACUGUAAACCGGCAAUGCUCAUCUGGACUCCAGGCAGUUGCUGAUGUUGUUACUGCCAUUAAAGCUGGAUUUUAUGACAUAGGGAUUGGGGCUAGAUUGGAGUCUAUGACAACAAAUCCAAUGGCUUGAGAAGGGUCAAUAAAUCCUAA